rnacentral:rRNA from 1 species
AGAGUUUGAUCCUGGCUCAGGAUGAACGCUGGCGGCGUGCUUAACACAUGCAAGUCGAAACGGAGAUGUUUCGCUGACGAGGCUUCGGCCAAAUCUUGAAGCAUCUUAGUGGCGGACGGGUGAGUAACGCGUGGGUAACCUGCCAUAUACAGGGGGAUAACACUUAGAAAUAGGUGCUAAUACCGGCAUAAGCGCACAGUUUCGCAUGGAACAGUGUGAAAAACUCCGGUGGUAUAUGAUGGACCCGCGUCUGAUUAGAUAGUUGGUGAGGUAACGGCUCACCAAGUCGACGAUCAGUAGCCGGCCUGAGAGGGUGAACGGCCACAUUGGGACUGAGACACGGCCCAAACUCCUACGGGAGGCAGCAGUGGGGAAUAUUGCACAAUGGGGGAAACCCUGAUGCAGCGACGCCGCGUGAGUGAAGAAGUAUUUCGGUACGUAAAGCUCUAUCAGCAGGGAAGAAAAUGACGGUACCUGACUAAGAAGCCCCGGCUAACUACGUGCCAGCAGCCGCGGU